rnacentral:rRNA from 1 species
UACGAAGGGGGCUAGCGUUGCUCGGAAUCACUGGGCGUAAAGCGCACGUAGGCGGAUUGUUAAGUCAGGGGUGAAAUCCUGGAGCUCAACUCCAGAACUGCCCUUGAUACUGGCGGUCUCGAGUCCGGGAGAGGUGAGUGGAACUGCGAGUGUAGAGGUGAAAUUCGUAGAUAUUCGCAAGAACACCGGUGGCGAAGGCGGCUACCUGGCCCAACAUUGACGCUGAGACCCGAAAGCAUGGGGAUCAAAC